CUAAAACUACAGCCCAUAUAUCUCCUACUCCACCAUGAAUAAAUUAAAAUAUUUUUAUAAUUUAGUAAGGAUGACUAAAAAAUUUACUUGGAGCUUUCUAUACCGCAAGGGUCAUAUGAAAUAGUUAUGAAAUAGCCCUAAAGCAUAAAAAAGUAGAGACUUAACCUCGUACCUUGUGCAUCAUGAUUUAACUAGUCUAACUAAGCAAAAAGACUUUAAAGUUUAGCUCCCCGAAACUAGGUGAGCUACAUUAGGGCUGCUUAAUGAGCGAACCCGUCUCUGUUGCAAAAGAGUGGGAAGACCCUAAAAUAGAGGUGAUAUACCUAUCGAACCUAGUGAUAGCUGGUUGCUUGAGAAAAGAAUUUUAGUUCAGCCUAGAGCCACCUCAAUUAUCUUUAAUAACCCUCACAACUCUAGAGUAAUUCAAAUAAGGUACAGCCUAUUUGAAACAGGACACAACCUAAACUAAUGGGUAAAUCUCCGAUUCAAGCAGCCAGGUAGGCCUAAAAGCAGCCACCCUCUCCAAUAGCGUUAAACCUUAACUGCUCAAUCCAUUAAUACCUAACUCUUCAAUGAACCCUUUACUUGUACCAAGCAAUUCUAUGCCACAUAGAAAAUUUUAUGUUAAAACUAGUAACAAGAAGAAAACCUUCUCUAUAAUGCAAACUUAAAUCAAAAAGGACCCCCCAUUGAUAAUUAUAUGGCCCUAAACUUACAGUAGUAACACCACAAGAAAAACCUACUCAUAACACCAUUAACCUAACACAAGAGCAUUUCAAGAAAGAUUUAAAAAAAAAGAAGGAACUCGGCAAAUACAUAAUCCCGCCUGUUUACCAAAAACAUCGCCUCUUGAUAACAAUAAGAGGUCCAGCCUGCCCAGUGACAUCAGUUUAACGGCCGCGGUAUCCUAACCGUGCGAAGGUAGCGUAAUCACUUGUCUUUUAAAUAGAGACUCGUAUGAAAGGCAUCACGAGGAUUCAACUGUCUCCUUUUUUUAAUCAGUUAAACUAAUCUUCCCGUGAAGAAGCGGGAAUAAGUAUAUAAGACGAGAAGACCCUAUGGAGCUUUAAACACAUGGCAUUUGCUUCAUUAUUUCAAACUUAAACACUUAGCACUUUGACCAAAAGUUUUAGGUUGGGGCGACCGCGGAGUAAAACCUAACCUCCACGUUGUACAGAAUUUUCUUAAGCUAAAAGCUACGCCUUCAAGCAUCAACAAAUUGACAUUCAUUGACCCACUUUUUGAUCAACGAACCAAGUUACCCUAGGGAUAACAGCGCAAUCCAUUUCAAGAGCUCAUAUCGACAAAUGGGUUUACGACCUCGAUGUUGGAUCAGGGUAACCUAGUGGUGCAGCCGCUGCUAAGAGUUCGUUUGUUCAACGAUUAAACCCCUACGUGAUCUGAGUUCAGACCGGAGCAAUCCAGGUCAGUUUCUAUCUAUAAAAAGAUUUUCCCAGUACGAAAGGAUCAGAAAAUCAUGGCCUACAAGAUACUCGAGCCAUACUAAACAUUUUUGUUAUCAACUCAAAAAAGAUAACCCUUACCCCUCCCUUUCUAAAGAAUAUAGCA
rnacentral:rRNA from 1 species